rnacentral:lncRNA from 1 species
GUCUAGAAGCAGCUCUCUUCAAGUUGGUGCCAAACAAAAGGCUUACUGUAUAUAAUGAUUCAAAUCGAAUUAUCUCGCAAUCUCUUGGAACAUGGAAAGUUAUAAAUGAGAAGCAGCAGCUACAACAACAAAAGAAAAAUCCAUUGCGCCACUCGGACUAUAAUCCAAAAUUUAUCUGAUAGUCUCGCUACACACCUCUAUCCAAUCAAGGCUUUCACUUCCAUUUCUUUCCUUCGAGGAGAAAGUCUUACUAAAGCUUUUGAAGGCAUUACACCGAUGUUAGCAAGAAGGAGGCUUGGUUGCAAGAGGGAGCUCUUUGACAUCAUUAGUGAAGCCAGUACCCUAAGUUAAUAGCAUAAAAUCCUUCUCACAGAAUUUCGAUUACCCUAAGGCAAGUAAGUGAAAUCUGCACUGGGGAAGGGGAGGAAAGGCUACUAAGGCAAGUGGGGAAGAAAAUCAAUAAAGAAUAGAAAGAAUAGGUAUCGAAUGCUGCAAUUGAAUCAACUCUUGCCCAAUCAGCUCUUGUGCACUCAUUGGCUAUUCUCAAAGAAGCUGCUAUUGAGGAAGCAUCCAAUAAUUCUUUUUCCUGCCUAAUCUACCCGAACGAGCUUGCUAAUCAGAUAUUUCGUAACCGAUAGGCGAGCCAGACCGACUGAACCAUCAUACAUUGACCGAGACAAGCCAUCGAAGGAGAUUGAAUUCCCGAAACAGAGCCCAGGCAGUUUGAAACUCUUUUUCUUCGACUGGUGGUAUCAGUUCCCUACUUUCCUUCAUUCCUUGCAGCUAUUUAUGCCUUACUUUCUUAGCUCCUUUCCUUCUUAGUUAAUCGAGUUAGUUAGUCAGUCGAGUAGCCUAGAGACUGAGCAACAUUGCCAUUUCUUCUUUCCUAUCUAUAUCUAGUCAAUCGAUUUGAAACCCUUCUACUUGUGAGCUAAGUUUCUUCUUCUUCUAAUGGCAUUAGCUUCGAUGGAGUUAGUCCAUGCUUAAGAGCGAGUUUCUUUCCUGGAAUUGGCUUUUCAACUUCAUUGUUAGUCGAGCUUCAACUCCAAUUUUUCAAAACCUUCUUUUCUUGGCCGAGCUUCCAUCUAGACUACUUGGGUCAGUGCGCUUCGCUGGACUCACGAAGAAUCCUGCAGAACCUUUCCAAGGCUCUACUUAACAAGGUCAGUCUAUUUAACGAUAUUUUUGUUAAAAGAAUGAAGCCUGGAAUGAAUCUGAUAUCUUUUCCUUCUUCACCUACUGGUUGAACUAAUAACAACCUCUGCUAUCUAUCUCUAAGCCCUCUGUAAUUCUAGCUGUCUUAAGUGCUCUAAUCACUGAAGCCUAAGUAAGCCCUAAAAACCCUUACAGACCAGUAACAGCCUAAACACCACUAUUCCUUUAUUAACUUCAUAGUCUUCUUUUGCACGAGCACGAAAGUAACUAGCUUACAUGUUGAUACUUCCUUCCCCGCCUAUCACUCUGGAUU